AUUGAACGCUGGCGGCAGGCCUAACACAUGCAAGUCGAGUGGACGAAGGGAGCUUGCUCCUGGAUUCAGCGGCGGACGGGUGAGUAAUGCCUAGGAAUCUGCCUGGUAGUGGGGGAUACCGCCCGGAAACGGGCGCUAAUACCGCAUACGUCCUGAGGGCGAACGGGGGGGACCUUGGGCCCUAACGCUAUCAGAUGAGCCUAGGUCGCAUUCCCUAGUGGGUGGGGUAAAGGCCUACCAAGGCGACGAUCCGUAACUGUUCUGAGAGGAUGAUCAGUCACACUGCAACUGAGACACGGUCCAGACUCCUACGGGAGGCAGCAGUGGGGAAUAUUGGACAAUGGGCGAAAGCCUGAUCCAGCCAUGCCGCGUGUGUGAAGAAGGUCUUCGGAUUGUAAAGCACUUUAAGUUGGGAGGAAGGGCAGUAAGUUAAUACCUUGCUGUUUUGACGUUACCAACAGAAUAAGCACCGGCUAACUUCGUG
rnacentral:rRNA from 1 species